AUUGAACGCUGGCGGCGUGCUUAACACAUGCAAGCCGAGCGGUAACAGGUGUAGCAAUACAUGCUGACGAGCGGCGAACGGGAGAGGAAUGCUUCGGAAUCUGCCUCGUAGUGGGGACUAACUAGCCGAAAGGUUAGCUAAUGCCGCCUACGAACCACGGUUGAAAGCGGGGGAUCGCAAGACCUCGCGCUAUGAUCUGAGCCGAAGUACGAUUAGCUAGUUGGUGAGGUAACGGCUCACCAAGGCGACAAUCGGUAGCUGGUCUGAGAGGACGACCAGCCACACUGGGACUGAGACACGGCCCAGACUCCUACGGGAGGCAGCAGUGGGGAAUAUUGGACAAUGGGGGAAACCCUGAUCCAGCGACGCCGCGUGUGUGAAGAAGGCCUGCGGGUUGUAAAGCACUUUUAGUGGGGAUGAAAAGCUCGGGGCCAAUACCUCCGGGUCUUGACCUAACCCAAAGAAAAAGCACCGGCUAACUCUGUGCCAGCCGCCGCGGUAA
rnacentral:rRNA from 1 species